rnacentral:misc_RNA from 1 species
GAUGAAGAACGCAGCGAAAUGCGAUACUUGGUGUGAAUUGCAGAAUCCCGUGAACCAUCGAGUCUUUGAACGCAAGUUGCGCCCGAAGCCAUUAGGCCGAGGGCACGCCUGCCUGGGCGUCACACGUCGUUGCCCCCCCAUCUACUCCUUCGGGAUUGCGGGGGGCGGAUGAUGGCCUCCCGUGCGCCUCGUCGCGCGGUUGGCAUAAAUACCAAGUCCUCGGCGACGCACGCCACGACAAUCGGUGGUUGCGAAACCUCGGUUGCCCGUCGUGUGCGGUCGUCGCGCAUCGAGGGCUCGAAAAAAUUGCCGGGCUCCGGCUCGGCUUUCAACGCGACCCCAGGUCAGGCGGGGUUACCCGCUGAAUUUAAGCAUAUCAAUAAGGGAGGA